ensembl:lncRNA novel transcript
GGGGGAAGAGAAAAGCCUCAUCACCACUUCUUAGAGCCAAGUUACCCAGGGCAAGGAAAGGGCAUUGAGUCCUGGGGAUGGUGGGUACUUACCUCCCUAUCUGCAAGAUCUUUAAACAGGAACAGUCACCCAAAGUUGCAGAUACAAGAAGGCUCACCCAUCCCUAGGACACAUUGCCCAGAAGUGGCAGGUGUUGGUAAGCUGGCUUCAUGGUCCAGAUGGAAAAGUUUAUCCUUCUCUCUCUCCCUAGAGCACGGGACAAAGCUCAUGUGCCAGGACAUGACAUGUAGCUGACUGGUCAACUCUGUGCCAUUUAACUCCAUGGAUACUUACUUUACAGACCAGAAUCUGGGAACACCAAGAAUCCAACUCCAACUCCUCCCUUCAUGGGAGUGCAGAGUCAAGUGUGAGAGACCAAAAAGGCAGAAAGUUUCAUUGUAAAGAGAAAUACUCAGAUGAGGGAGUACAAAGGAUGUGAGGCAGUAUGGAAAGGAUUCCUGGAAAAGAAUAUUUUGAGCUGUUUGGAAAGAUGAUUAAAAACAACAAAACAAAGAAAUGGACAGAGGACUUAAAGUCAAGAGGCUUAAAGUCAAGAAAGGGCAAAGCACAUUCAGGAACUUGAACAUAGUUCCUUGGAGAGUUGGGGAAUUUCAGUUUGACAAUGACUCCUGUCAUCACAAAGGAAAGAAAGGCUCGUGACAAGACAAACAAGUGUACAAAUAUGUACAGCACGCAAUGAGGGCCCAGAGGAAGAAAGAAAGAUUAAAGGAUAGGAGAGACUACUUUUGCCUUGAGGGGAAGAAAGAAGUCAGGGGCUGGCUAACAGUCUCUAGCUGUUCCUGGAUUACAAUUAGCAUAGGGACUAAUGAUUUUGUGUGUUGGUGGAAUUAUGUUUCCUUCGUGGGUCUGUGCGAUCACUGCAAAGUGCAACGAACAUAAGAAGUCUCAGGGGGUGUGGAAGCCUGCAAACUACACUUCAUAGGCUGUGAUCAGCUGCCUUCUGGUUGGGCUCUGCCAGUGAAAAGCCUUGGGACAGGACUCAAAUGCUGGAGGGAAGGAGAAGUUUGAUUUUGCAUUGUUUUGGUUUUGUUUUACCCCUGCUUUCACAAAUGCCUCCCCGAGUGGUGACACAUCAGCGGAAGUGCAACUUCUGGCCCCCUGCACAGCUUCAGGGACCAUCUGAUAGCAGUAACAGCAACUGCACCUCCAGAAGAUCAGAAGCACAUGCAGGCUGGGCUUCUGUCAAAGGCUGGGAAGAGCUCCCUGGCCUCUGAGUUUCUCCCUUCUCCCUUUUACUCUUCUACCUCUUCCAAAAGAUUGUAACCAACUCCCUGUAUUAAAUCCCUCUCUGCUGGAAAUACCUCCAGUGCAAUCUACUUUCUUAACUGAGCACUGAUGGGUACACCAUUUAAUGCACAAGGAGACCGAGGUACAGAGAGGUUAAGUAACUUGUCCCAAGGCAAACAGCUAGGAAGUAACAUAAAGCACAGAUAAAGAAAAAGAAAAAAAACAA